GGCCUUAUAUUCAUUGAUGAUAUUAGAAUGCAAUUCUGAAGGAGUAGGGGGCGUCCUGCUAAGGCUU
rnacentral:tRNA from 1 species